rnacentral:lncRNA from 1 species
AUGAUGAUCUUCUGUUCCUUCUGCGCAAUCUCAUCAUUCUGUGCCACUCCCCAGUCCUCUGGCUGUCGUCUUCCUCAGAGCCGAGGCUGUGCUACUUGCUGCAGUGGUGGAGAAGGGCUGGGUGUGAGUCAUGUUUCAUUUUCCUCUCCCCAGCAAAGCRCCCGACCAGAGAAGCAACGUGGAUGGCAGAGUCAGUAUUGCUCAGACAGAGAAUUCUCGCAGCCUAGAGACGUGGGGAAGCGAGGCAGAAAUCCUGGUGCCCAGCGCUGUGGUUCUGAAGACAUAAAAUUCUCUCCAGUCAUUAACCGAUACAACAGAAGAGUAUCAGGUAUGAUUUCCUUUUAAGAAUUUCAUAUGUUUUUGAAAAGCUUUGAAAUAUGUAUUUGACCAAAGCAAUUGCUUAUGUUAAGAAUGACCUUCUUACUCUUCAUCACUGUGUUUUAUUGUUCAUACUUCUUACAGUCUUUUCAUUUGAAAUAAUCAGAACUGUUUCUUAAUACCCUUUAGAUUGUUUUAGAUUGUUAAUUGUUUCUUAAUUCCCUUCACUGGGCAACAAAUUAUGAGAGUAGUUUAGAAAGCAGUUCUGUGGUGGUUGACAGAAUACUGAAGCAAUUUCAGCACUACUAACAAUUCUGUCCAGAAAAACUUCCCAAAAGUUCUGCGCAAUGUAGGAAUGAUGGAAAAGCUUGCUUUAAUAUGAAUUGGAAAAGUGGCCGCUUCUUUCUGCUGGAACACAUCUCCUAAUAUUUCAUAUUGCUAACAGUUUUAUCUCUGGUCAAAAUACAGAAAUACUGGUGUUUUUGUUUUCUUUUUCUCAGAUUUUAUUGUUUUAUUGUUUAGUAUUAACCAGAAGUGAUGGAUGUUGCAGGACCUUGAGCCCUUUGCUUAUGUAACUGGUAUUUAAAGUCAUUGAAAUUGUGGCCCUCCAUUUGUUCUGGAGACACAGACUGUACUUUUUUGGUCUUAUUAACCAAUAUUAAAUCCUUUAAUGAUUUGCUGUUGGUGUUUUUAGCUGUGUCAUUCCCCAAAAUUCUUUUUAAAGUUGUCUUUGAGCAGUAUCAUAUGAGCAAAAUGUUAAAUAUAGAUGAGAAGGUAUCGUGUCAUUUUUCCUUCAAAGUGCAGUGUGGAUUGCACUACAUAUGUUUCUUGAUUCCCCACCCUCCCACCCACCUCAGUCUACCUCAUUGUAGAAUUUAACUGGUAUAGAAAGUCAUUAUGAUUCUGAUUUGAAAAAUCAGUUUAAUAAUGCCAAUGUGUUCAGUGUUUCCUCUCUAAUUUUCAGGUCAAGUCCACUAGGUUUGUAACUCUUGUAUAUUAUCCAUGCCAUUCUUCGGCAUUAUGGUUAUGGUGGGAUCUUGCUGAUAAAUGAGCAGAGGCCGUUUGAAUUAUAUAUGCAUGUUUAACUUUAUAUGCAAAAUGUCUUCAUUCCCAUGCAAUACAGUUGCUUUACUACUAGUUGCUUGGGUAUGAUCAAGGAGGUAACUACAUAGGUAUGUCGCUGUGUAAAUGUGACUAUAAUGAAAACUUCAUAAUUCUUAUAAUUCAAAAGUGCUGGUAGUUUUGGUAUAUUAUUACAUGAGAAAUUUAGACAAGACAAAACCGUAUCUUGAAGGAUGGAGCUAGAUAUUCUAAUAGUAAAUAUUUGAAGUCAUAAAUUGUACAGCAUCUUUAUCCAGAGAGUCCAAAGAUAUUUUCAUUUCCUUGUUAAUUAAACUAAUGCAUCCUGGUGUCUGCUGAUGGAAUAAAACCUGACAAGUGAGAAGUGAAUGCA